rnacentral:rRNA from 1 species
GGCCAGACUCCUACGGGAGGCAGCAGUGGGGAAUAUUGCACAAUGGGGGAAACCCUGAUGCAGCGACGCCGCGUGAGUGAAGAAGUAAUUCGUUAUGUAAAGCUCUAUCAGCAGGGAAGAAAAUGACGGUACCUGAGUAAGAAGCCCCGGCUAACUACGUGCCAGCAGCCGCGGUAAUACGUAGGGGGCAAGCGUUAUCCGGAUUUACUGGGUGUAAAGGGAGCGUAGACGGUUAUGUAAGUCUGGAGUGAAAGCCCGGGGCCCAACCCCGGGACUGCUUUGGAAACUGUGUAACUGGAGUACAGGAGGGGCAGGCGGAAUUCCUGGUGUAGCGGUGAAAUGCGUAGAUAUCAGGAGGAACACCGGUGGCGAAGGCGGCUUACUGGACGAUGACUGACGCUGAGGCUCGAAAGCGUGGGGAGCAAACAGGAUUAGAUACCCGCGUAU